rnacentral:tRNA from 1 species
GCCCGAGUAGCUCAGCGGUGGAGCGAACGGCUGUUAACCGUUAGGUCGCAGGUUCAAAUAUAUCUGAAAAUCCUGCCUCGGGCGCCA